GAGUUCCCUUAAACAUUUCAUUAAGGACUCAAUUUCUUCUCUUCAACCUUGUUGAAGCGUUUGGGGGAACUC
rnacentral:pre_miRNA from 1 species